ACUCGAGUGGCGAACGGGUGAGUAACACGUGGGUGAUCUGCCUUGCACUUCGGGAUAAGCCUGGGAAACUGGGUCUAAUACCGGAUAGGACCAUGCUUUAGUGUGUGUGGUGGAAAGUUUUCGGUGCAAGAUGAGCCCGCGGCCUAUCAGCUUGUUGGUGGGGUAAUGGCCUACCAAGGCGACGACGGGUAGCCGGCCUGAGAGGGUGUACGGCCACAUUGGGACUGAGGCACGGCCCAG
rnacentral:rRNA from 1 species